AGUAACACGUGAACAAUCUGCCCUCGAAUCUGGGAUAACAGUUCCAACGAGCUGCUAAUACCGGGUAGGUUAGUCUUGCCGCAUGGUAGGACUAAGAGAGUUCCAAUUGGAACGUUCGAGGAUGAGUUCGCGGCCCAUUAGCUAGUUGGCGGGGUAAAGGCCCACCAAGGCAACGAUGGGUAGCCGGCCUGAGAGGGUGAUCGGCCACAUUGGGACUGAGAUACGGCCCAG
rnacentral:rRNA from 1 species